UAAGAUGUGUUCGCAUU
rnacentral:sRNA from 1 species